GUGCUCACUUCAGCAGCACGUGUACUAAAGCUGGAACGUCACAGUGAAGGUUGGUGUGGCCCCUGUGCAAGAAUGACAUGCAGAUUUGUGAAGCGCUCCAUUAAAAA